rnacentral:lncRNA from 1 species
GCUCCAAUCAGCGUGCGGCUCUCUCGACCCCGCCUUCUUAGGACUCGCGUGGUGCGACCUGACGCUGACACCUCUGCACCAAACCAGCUUCCGUCUGUGCCCACCGGGUGGUCUCUGCCAGGCAGAAUUGGCCAUCAAAGGAUAGGGUCUUUGCCUCGCACGGUUCGCUAAAGGGGGAGAGGAAAUUCUCAGUGGGGAAGGGCAUUUUUAUAUUAAGGGGGAAAGAGACACUCAAUGCUCGCUGUGAAAACAAUACAAAGAAAUUUUACCUGGAAGCGUUGGUGCAAAAUCUCCAAUUCUGCGGCGUCGUGGACGUGCUUAGCGAUUGUGACUCAUACUCCAAGUUCUAAGGAAGGAACAAUAAAGCAUAUGCUAAGGAGAGAUGUGCAGGACAGAAACCUCACCUUGUAAUAGACAUCAAACAUCAGGUCGCUGCCUGCAGCAAGAGCUUUGUCAGCUACACACAACUGUGAGCUCCAACCACCACACGGCACGGACCUGAGCCCUCUGUUCUCUGAAGCUCUGAGUCUUUGACCAUUGAUGUCUUAUUGCCCCAGACGGCUUCAUCUGCUCUCACUGUUUCAAGCCCUUCCCACACAGUCUGUGGCUGCCUCCUGUGUGCACAGGAGGUUAGACACACAGCCAGACAUGCACCCCAUGGGGGAAACUCCAGCUCUGAUGCUCUGAGCUAGGUGAUCUCAGGCCAAAAUUUUAAAUUCUAUCAGCAAAGCAAUUGAUUCUUCUGUAAAAGAGUAAACGCAAGUUUAUUAAUGAUAACAGGGCUUACUUUAUUGUGUUUUUGUCGCUGUUUUGGUCGUUUUCG